GCGGUUUAAUGGAUUCAACGCCGGAAAUCUUACCGGGACCGACAGCAAUAUGAAGGCCAGGCUGAAGACUUUGCCGGAUUAGCUGAGAGGUGGUGCAUGGCCGUGUCAGUUCGUACUGUGAAGCAUCCUGUUAAGUCAGGCAACGAGCGAGACCCACGCCCACAGUUGCCAGCGUACUCUCUGGAGUGACGGGUACACUGUGGGGACCGCCGCUGCUAAAGCGGAGGAGGAAUGGGCAACGGUAGGUCAGUAUGCCCCGGAUAUCCCGGGCUACACGCGAGCUACAAUGGUUGGUACAAUGGGUAUCUACCCCGAAAGGGGACGGGAAUCUCCUAAAACCAAUCUUAGUUCGGAUUGAGGGCUGCAACUCGCCCUCAUGAAGCUGGAAUCUGUAGUAAUCGUGUCUCAAAAUGGCACGGUGAAUAUGUCCCUGCUCCUU
rnacentral:rRNA from 1 species